GGUUUCUCUCCUCCCUCACCCCUCCCCUCCUUCAUCCUCCUCCUGUCAGUUAAAAAUAGGAGAGCGAAGCCCCGUACGGCACUGAAUGCCGGGAUGGAAACCUCGCCGAGCUGGGGCUUGGAGAAGUCCCUAGGACUCCAGGCUUCCUCCCCCGCGCCGUGAAUUCAGAGCGGCUGCCCAGCCUCCGCGGAGCGGGGAAUGCUCCCGGCCCCGGGGACCGACGCGCCAGGAGCGGGGAGAUGAAAGGGAAGCUCCUGGGGGAAGAGGCUGUGCAGUUUGACCGGCUCCAGCAGCAACAGCAGCAGCAGCAGCGACAGCCCGUCCCGGGCAGCUCCGCCUCUCGCCUCCCCCGCUGCCCCGGGCUCCUCUCCGCCCGCAUUCGCCUCUCCCCCCGGCUGCGAGCGUCCGAGGGAGGACGAAGAGCAGCAUCCUCAGUCCCACACGAAUCGGGCCGCGGGCAGCAUCCACACUACGAAAUGGCCGAGAAUAAUUAGUCUGAUGAUUGGGGGGGGGGGGGGCGGGGGGCGUCCAGUUCCUCCAGUGGGGCUCCCCCCAACCCCUUUACUGGUGUAAAUCAGGAGGGAGCCCAUUCGGAUCAUGACAUGAACGGUGCCCUCUACCCCCAGUCCACGCCAAGCACUAGCCCGUGUCCUUUACAGGGGGAGAAAGCGCCCACGGGCAGUGGGGAGCGCGCGUGUUCUCCGUGGGGGAAGCCUACAAGUGUCUCUCCUUCAUUUUAUGAUCGGUUUAGUUAAUAAGCCGUACUCUAAAGACAGGAUCUUUUUUUUUCUUCUUCUUUUUAACAAGCCGCCGUGAGCCUGGCGUGCGGAGUUCCUUUAAGAAAGAAAGAUAAGGCUCGCAGAUUGACUGCAAAGGAAGGCAGGAAAAAUGGAAUCGGAGUGUGUGCGUCAGACCUAAAUUUUACCCCGAAACGGGGUGUAUGCCGGGGUAACAUUUGAUGUGUCAGAUGCUGGGAGAUCUUUGUCUCAUCGCCUUGCUUCUGAGGAGACCUGGAGAGCCAAGAGAAGGGCGUAGUGAUAAUAGAUAUUAUACGUUUCUCUCCAGACGCCAGAAAUGAAUUAAAAGGAGCUAAACAUCAGAGCUUCCGAGGGAUCAGAUCUGGUUAUAGACGCUUCGGUCUAAAUCUUCCUCUCGAGUCUUUGGACUCUAUUGCUGCAGCUCUUUCGGCGGCUUGCGGAGCCCGGCUCCGCGGAAAGCCUUGCCCUGCGCAUCCCCUGGGCAGCUGCCGGCCCGGCCCGACGUGGGCUCGCAGGAUGUGGCCCCGCCGGUGCCCGGCCCCGGGCGCUCCGCCGGCGGCGGGCUCUGCCUGCCCCGACGGCGAGGUGCGCAGCCAGCCGCGGAGCCCGGGGAAGGUGAAGGCGUUUGAAGCGAAGUUGCAAUAUAUCCGAUGCUGGAAAUCGGCAGCAAGUGCAGUCACGCGUUAUGAUUGUCCCCUGUGUCACCCGACAAUGGUCCCUAUUUAUCGCAUUGGUGUCAUCCGCUCGUUAGGACAGUCAGUGUAUAAUGAACCGUGGUUGUUGCAUAAUACGGAGCGUCCCCUUUCCCUUCCGCCGAGGGUUGUUCUCUCCCUCUCUCCACGCAGGUAUUUCAUUUACGAUCAGAUAUUUGUUUUCUGUUUGGCAAGAGGCAGUGCAUAGUUGUGAGAGAUCAGAUGUCUCCCUGCUCAAAGCAGUUAACAGUUUUGCCCUUAAGGACUGAAAAAGAUCUCUUCCCCCCCCCCCCCCCCCCGCCCCGAGAUAAUAACUUUUUAAAUAAACACACGGGAAAGCUUCGGGGGAGGAAAGCGCUGUUUGAGAGGUUAGAUUUACAUGCAGAAAACCCGCGAUCAGAAGGAUCGGAUGCAGACUUUGUUUUCGGAGGCGAUGCACGGCUCCUUGCUACGAAGAAAAGCGGGACUCCGCUGGUGCGGAUUGCCGGUGCUUUGCCUUUUGCAGCGAGGGAAGAGUCCUCACGCUGCUUUGGACCCCCGAGAAGGUCCCACUCUGUCCCGGCAGCCGGGGCCGGACCAUGUUCCCCUUGAAGCCAACGCUACCGUGCAAUCGCCGCAGCUACCAGAGAGCGCAGGAUCGGGCUCUGGGGAGAAAAAGUUUGGACACCUGCUAGUGCAUCGCUGCUCGGUGCCGGGACCAUCCCGAGCCAUCCCAGCGGGCUGCCCCAAACCGAACAUCGAAAAAUUAAGAGGGCAAAAAAAGCAGCGCCUUUGGGGGUUGGCCCCCGGCUAAGCGCACGGGUGGGAAGCACACAAGCCUCUCCUACAUGUCGCUUUUUUAUUUUUAGUUUUGCAAAAGAGGGAAAGAAAUGGGGGAAAACGACGAUCUAUGACCUCAAAAUCGCUUUGCAAGCUCUGUCUUUCCAUAUUCGAACGGUUUCCAUCGAACUUGCUGCAGUGAAUUUUAACUAUCGGGCACAUCUUCCUGCUCAUCGAUGUUGUGAAUAUAUCAAAAUGACCCACUCCAGCGUGGAAAAAAAGUGUGUGGAGAACUGCAGACUAAAAGCGCCUGCAUUCAUUUAGAUUCGACCGCUCGAUUAUUCCCAGAGUCUUCCUACGCACAGCCAUCUCCCCCCCCCCAAUAAACAAGCAGUUGAGUUCAUUUUUAUAUGCAUAUUUUAUUUGUCAGUUGUAAUAUGCAUUCGUUUUCGGUGCUCUGCCUGUUUCUCUCCACCAAUCUAGGAAACACAGAGGGGAUGGGAAAUAUAUUAAAUACCCCAUUCUCAAACGAGACUCCUAUAAAAAUACUAUUACUUGUGUGAUACAUUCGCAAUACCGAGAAACAUCCGUCGCUCACUGCAAUUCCCAAAUUGCGGUAUCUGCUGUCUUAUUUUUUCCCCUUGGCUUCCCAUCUUUAUUUUUCAAAUCUACCCCAAAUCCUCCGAAUGAUCGCAGCUUUGCUACUGUACUGUUUGUUUGCCUGCCGUAGUUGCCCAUCUCUUUUUGCUUAUCCAAUGAAUAAACUGCGUAUGAGUUGCAGACUUAAAUUUGAUGCACACUGAUUGUGGAGAGUACUCGGAUCUGUGAGAUCAUUUCGGUGAUUCCUUUACUUCUCAAACAACAUUGCUUUAAAUAAAACUUAAAUUUACACUAA